CCCUCCUCCCAACUUCCUCGCUGCCAAGAAGUCAACCACUCGACCCCGACGAAGACUUUGACUUAUUGUUCACCUCCUCGCCGUUAUAUAAUCCUGGCACACUGAGUUGCUCUCGGUUGGGCCGGCGAAGGAGGAGAAGAAAGAAGAGGCGAAGGACAAGGAAGGGGACAAGGGCAAGGAGAAAGGCGAGGACAAGGAAAAGGAAAAGGAGAAGAGCAAAGACCGACGAGAUAGCCGCGGUGGUGAAGACCUACCAGACUUACAACGCCUACUACUAUGCGCAGAGUGCAGAGGAGAACCCUAAUGCAUGUGUGGUUAUGUGAUUAAACAUUCUUUUGAUAUCUUUAUUAACUAUUUUGAGUUAUUUGAGAAGGAUUCGGAAAGAGAUCUAUAUGAAAAUCUAGCUAUCAAGGAUUUUCAUAUAGGAUCUGUUGAUUCCAUUUUGCACUUUUCUUGUGCGUUACUAGCAAAAACUUCCCUUCGUGUCUGGUGUAUCCCAGUAAGUUGUUGAUAUCAACAAAAUUUGAGUGCCCAUGUGCAGUAGUUAACAGAUCCUUGGCUGACCGCCUGCAUUCUGACACAAGAUAUUCCUCUCUUUUGAUGCCAAGAAGGAGCCCUAUUUAAGAUCUAUCACGUUGUCUAAAUGUGUAGAGGAUCACAAAUAAGUAUUGCUUGCUAGUUUUUCAGGUAUCCAUCUGUGAUUAUGUGUUCAUAUCACAGAGUCCAUAGUCUCUUUGAGAGAGCACUAGCAAAUGAAAAAUUGCAGAAGUGUGUGCUAUUAUGGUGAUGCUACUUAGAGUAUGAAGCAACAUAAACUGUCAGUAGCAAGACGAAUUUUCUUUAGAGCUAUUCAUGCAUGUCCUUGGUUAAAAAGGUUAUGGCUUGAUGGAUUUCAGAAACUAAGCAAUGUCUUGUCGGCAAAGGAGUUAUCUGAUCUCCAAGAAGUCAUGCACGGUAAGGAGUUGAACCUGAGAACUGAUAUCCAUGAAGCUAAGUGUUGAUAAAAUGACUUAAAAUUAAUAAUUGAGUUAGUGGGUUGAUGAGAUGAGAAUGAGUGGUAGUAGUGGUAGGCAUUAGUGGUAGUAGUGGUUCGAUAUAUUUUAAUAUUAGUGA